ACGGCGAGUGAAGCGGCAACAGCUCAAAUUUGAAAUCUGGCGUCUUUGGCGUCCGAGUUGUAAUUUGCAGAGGGCGCUUUGGCAUUGGCAGCGGUCCAAGUUCCUUGGAACAGGACGUCACAGAGGGUGAGAAUCCCGUACGUGGUCGCUAGCCUUUACCGUGUAAAGCCCCUUCGACGAGUCGAGUUGUUUGGGAAUGCAGCUCUAAAUGGGAGGUAAAUUUCUUCUAAAGCUAAAUACUGGCCAGAGACCGAUAGCGCACAAGUAGAGUGAUCGAAAGAUGAAAAGCACUUUGGAAAGAGAGUUAAAAAGCACGUGAAAUUGUUGAAAGGGAAGCGCUUGCAGCCAGACUUGCCUGUAGUUGCUCAUCCGGGUUUCUACCCGGUGCACUCUUCUAUAGGCAGGCCAGCAUCAGUUUGGGCGGUUGGAUAAAGGUCUCUGUCAUGUACCUCCUUUCGGGGAGAACUUAUAGGGGAGACGACAUGCAACCAGCCUGGACUGAGGUCCGCGCAUCUGCUAGGAUGCUGGCGUAAUGGCUGUAAGCGGCCCGUCUUGAAACACGGACCAAGGAGUCUAACAUCUAUGCGAGUGUUUGGGUGUCAAGCCCGAACGCGUAAUGAAAGUGAACGGAGGUGGGAACCUUUCGGGGUGCACCAUCGACCGAUCCUGAUGUCUUCGGAUGGAUUUGAGUAAGAGCAUAGCUGUUGGGACCCGAAAGAUGGUGAACUAUGCUUGAAUAGGGUGAAGCCAGAGGAAACUCUGGUGGAGGCUCGCAGCGGUUCUGACGUGCAAAUCGAUCGUCAAAUUUGGGCAUAGGGGCGAAAGACUA
rnacentral:rRNA from 1 species